rnacentral:rRNA from 1 species
UGCCUUUUGCAUYAUGCUCAUAUGAAACAAUGAAUAAUUAAUUCUUUAACCGAAAGCUCCGGAUUUCUUUUAUUAUUGCUUAGUGAGUAAGCCGGGUAGGCGUUAUUAAAUAAUAAAGGUGUGGUGAAAAAUUAAUCGUCGGUGUUGAUAACUGUUUAACAACUUUAAAUUUUUAAUUAUUUAUCUGGUUACGAGAUCAGAUAAAUGUAUAUAUUUACUUUCAUUUUGGUAUUACGAUAGGGUUAAAAGUACCCAAUUGUGUGAACAUUGUUCAAAAGUAUCUUGUUCUUGUUAUAAAUUAUGUGUAUUAGUUGUUUUUUUUAACUUUUAGAUUUUAUUUAUAUUUGAAUAAGUAAUGUUAAAAGUUUAAUUAUUUCUCAAGUGUUGCCCGUCUGUUUAUUAAAAACAUUUCCAUAUAAAAGUAUUUAUGGUAGUGCCUGCUCUAUGUAUUAAAGUAUAAAUGGCCGCAGUAUCUUGACUGUGCAAAGGUAGCAUAAUUAAUUGCCUUAUAAUUGAAGGCUUGUCUGAAUGGUUUGACGUGGUAACUACAAAUAUUUAUUUUUUUAUUGAAAUUGAUUAGGAGGGCACAGAAUCCUUCUUUUUUAAUUAGACGGAAAGACCCCAGGAUCUUUUAUUUUUGUCUGGGGCAGAUGAAAAUCUUUUAUUUUUAUUUUGACCCUCUUUGGUUCAGUGAGUUAAGUUACCCUGGGGAUAACAGUGUAAUAGUUUAUAAGAGGCCUUAUCGAAUAAACUGUUUGCUACCUCGAUGUUGACUUAGGUAAAUAAGCUGGGCGCAGUAGUCUAGCUUUUUGGUCUGUUCGACCUAAAAUACCUCCAUGAGUUGAGUUAAGACCGGCGUGAGCCAGGUCGGUUCUUAUCUAUU